AACGAACGCUGGCGGCAGGCUUAACACAUGCAAGUCGAACGCCCCGCAAGGGGAGUGGCAGACGGGUGAGUAACGCGUGGGAAUCUACCCAUCUCUGCGGAAUAGCUCUGGGAAACUGGAAUUAAUACCGCAUACGCCCUACGGGGGAAAGAUUUAUCGGGGAUGGUUGAGCCCGCGUUGGAUUAGCUAGUUGGUGGGGUAAAGGCCUACCAAGGCGACGAUCCAUAGCUGGUCUGAGAGGAUGAUCAGCCACAUUGGGACUGAGACACGGCCCAAACUCCUACGGGAGGCAGCAGUGGGGAAUAUUGGACAAUGGGCGCAAGCCUGAUCCAGCCAUGCCGCGUUGGUGAUGAAGGCCUUAGUGUUGUAAAGCUCUUUCACCGAUGAAGAUAAUGACGGUAGUCGGAGAAGAAGCCCCGGCUAACUUCGUGCCAGCCGCCGCCGUAA
rnacentral:rRNA from 1 species